rnacentral:rRNA from 1 species
UACGGGGGGGGCAAGCGUUGUUCGGAAUUACUGGGCGUAAAGGGCUCGUAGGCGGCCAACUAAGUCAGACGUGAAAUCCCUCGGCUUAACCGGGGAACUGCGUCUGAUACUGGAUGGCUUGAGAUUGGGAGAGGGAUGCGGAAUUCCAGGUGUAGCGGUGAAAUGCGUAGAUAUCUGGAGGAACACCGGUGGCGAAGGCGGCAUCCUGGACCGACACUGACGCUGAGGAGCGAAAGCCAGGGGAGCAAACGGG